AGACCCGAAACCCGGUGAUCUAGCCAUGGGCAGGUUGAAGGUUGGGUAACACUAACUGGAGGACCGAACCGACUAAUGUUGAAAAAUUAGCGGAUGACCUGUGGCUGGGGGUGAAAGGCCAAUCAAACCGGGAGAUAGCUGGUUCUCCCCGAAAGCUAUUUAGGUAGCGCCUCGUGAAUUCAUCUCCGGGGGUAGAGCACUGUUUCGGCUAGGGGGCCAUCCCGGCUUACCAACCCGAUGCAAACUGCGAAUACCGGAGAAUGUUAUCACGGGAGACACACGGCGGGUGCUAACGUCCGUCGUGAAGAGGGAAACAACCCAGACCGCCAGCUAAGGUCCCAAAGUCAUGGUUAAGUGGGAAACGAUGUGGGAAGGCCCAGACAGCCAGGAUGUUGGCUUAGAAGCAGCCAUCAUUUAAAGAAAGCGUAAUAGCUCACUGGUCGAGUCGGCCUGCGCGGAAGAUGUAACGGGGCUAAACCAUGCACCGAAGCUGCGGCAGCGACGCUGAUG
rnacentral:rRNA from 3 species